rnacentral:rRNA from 1 species
UACGUAGGGGCCGAGCGUUGUCCGGAGUUACCGGGCGUAAAGCGCGCGCAGGCGGCUCGUCAAGCCUGACGUGAAAGCCCCCGGCUCAACCGGGGAGGGUCGUCGGGGACUGGCGGGCUUGAGGUCGGCAGGGGUUGGUGGAAUUCCCGGUGUAGUGGUGAAAUGCGUAGAGAUCGGGAGGAACACCCGUGGCGAAGGCGGCUCUCUGGGACGGUACUGACGCUGAGACGCGAAAGCGUGGGGAGCGAACAGG